rnacentral:rRNA from 1 species
CAAUAGCGUAUAUUUAAGUUGUUGCAGUUAAAAAGCUCGUAGUUGGAUUUCGGGUGGGACGCAGCGGUCUCGCAUUGCGUUUGUACUGCUGCAGCCCUCCUUCUUGCCGGGGGCGGCCUCUCGGACUUCACUGUCUGGGGGUCAGAAUCGGCGAUGUUACUUUGAGUAAAUUAGAGUGUUCAAAGCAAGCUUACGCUCUGAAUAUAGUAGCAUGGGAUAACACGACAGGACUCUGGCCUAUCGUGUUGGUCUAUAGGACCAGAGUAAUGAUUAAGAGGGACAGUCGGGGGCAUUCGUAUUCCGUUGUCAGAGGUGAAAUUCUUGGAUUUACGGAAGACGAACAUCUGCGAAAGCAUUUGCCAAGGAUGUUUUCAUUGA